CACCCCAAAUCUUGAUACCAUAUUUCAGGUGGGAGUGGAUAAUUCCAAAAUAGAUUUGUAUUAAAAUGGGUUGCACUAUUAUGCGAGAAAGGUGUUUUAGUAGGUAGGUGUUCCAGGAGAUUUUUUUUACACGUGUAAGUGAUGUGCUCCUUCCAUGUAAGAUGUUUGUGUACUAUAAUACCCAGGAAUUUAUGUUUAUCAAUUGUUUCAACUGAUAGCGCUGUUUCUGUCUCCACUUGCUUGAUUUAUAAUUUAGCAGAAACUCCAUCAGAAAUGAAGAAACUGACUGAGAGUGCUGUGAUUACACCAAACUCUUUCUGUGCUGAGGUAUGAUGGUUUUUCAUUAGGUAGUAUCCACUGUGUUGUAGUCGGAAGUGAUGGAGUUACCAUUGAAUGUUUCAGGACAAAUGUGUAUGCAAGGUAACGAGGACUAUUUCUGUUGGAACCAUGAAGUUACAUGGAAUGUACUUAUUGCAACAGGUGUCAUAAAGAAUUAGUACGAGGGUCACUCCAAAAGAAAUGCACACUAGUUUUUUAAAAACCCAUCUUUUAUUCUACAUGUUCGAAAGUCUUACAAUGUGUAGGUACAUCCUUUAGGAACAAUAUUUUCAUUUCUCUACAUAAUUCCCAUCCCUCUCAACUGCCUUACCCAUCUUGGAACCAGCGCCUGUAUACCCGCACGGUAAAAUUCUGGGCCAACCUGUUGGAGCCACUGUUUGGCAGCGUGCACAAGGGAGUCAUCAUCUUCCAACCUUCUUCCAUGAAGAGAGUCUUUCAGUUUCCCAAAGAGAUGAUAGUCACAUGGAGCCAGGUCAGGACUGUAAGGCGGGUGUUUCAGUGUUGUCCAUCCGAGUUUUGUGAUCGCUUCCAUGGUUUUUUGACAACCGUGCAUUGUCGUGCAACAGCAAAACAUACUGCUUUUGCCAAUGUGGUCGAACAUGACUCAGUCGAGCUUGAAGUUUCUUCAAUGUCGUAACAUAUGCAUCAGAAUUUAUGGUGGUUCCACUUGACAUGAAGUCCACAAGCAAGAGUCCAUUGGAAUCGAAAAACACUAUAGCCAUAACUUUUCCAGCAGAAGAUGUGGUUUUUUUUUUUUUUUUUUCAUGGGUGAAUUUGCAUGAUGCCACUCCAUUGAUUACCUCUUUCUCUGGUGAAAAAUGAUGGAGCCAUGUUUCAUCACCUGUCAUAAUUCUUCCAAGAAAUUCGUCUCCUCCAUUCUUGUACAGUUCCAAAAGUUCACUGCAUACAGUUUUUCUUGUUUCUUUGUGAGCCACAGUCAACAUCCCGGGAACCCACCUGGCACAAACCUUUUUAAUGCCAACUCUUUCCGUAUUCUGCGAACACUUCCUUCCCCUAUCCCAAUGUAGCAUGACAAUUCAUUCACUGUGGUGCGUCUGUCAGCAGUCACCAAUUCGUUAACUCUCUGCACAUCGUCUGUAGUGUGUGCAGUACGAGGCCUGCCACUGCGAGGACAAUCCUCAAUAUUGCCGAGCCCGCCUUCAUCAUGUAACCUGCUUGCCCACCGACUAACUGUACUGCGAUCGACAGCAGCAUCUCCAUACACCUUUUUCAACCUCUUGUGGAUGUUUCCCACUGUCUCGUUUUCACAGCACAGGAAUUCUAUGACAGCAUAUUGCUUCUGAUGAACGACAAGUGUAGCAGCCACCUUGAAGAUGUGCUGUGAUGGUGCCACUCAUGGGAACUGGUUGAACUAAGUUUGAAAACAAGUGCGAAGGAUGUAUCAACAUACUGUAAAACUUUCACACAUUCAGAAUGAAAACUGUAUUUUUACAAAAAUAGUGUGCAUUUCUUUUGGAGUGACCCUCAUAUAUUGGGCUAAAGAUGAGAUGUGUGUGAUGUGUAAUAGUAAAUUCUUUGUAUUCUUUUGUACUUUCAAUUAUGAGUGUAAUAUGUAUAUUGUGUAACUUGGUUUUGUCUAAUAUUAGUGUGUGAUAACAUGUAUUAAUCUAUUCAUAGCGUCACACUGUGAAAUAUAAGUAGGUUGCAGAGUGAUGGACUGGGGUGAGUGUAGGAGCGAGAGGAGAAGAGGUUGCGGGUUGGUUAACAUGAUGUCUUUGUAGUGAUACAUAGAAUCAAAGUAUCAGAAUAAGGAGGUUGCCGUGUUUGCAGAAAUGUUAAUAAGCAUGUAGACAGAGUGUAGUUUUGUUUGCAAAGGAGACAUUUAUUGAAUUUUGUUGUGCGCAAAUGCUUUGUACAAGUUAAUUGUGGCAGCACUUGUUUGAGUAGUGUUCAGGUAUGAAUUAGUGGUAACUCGAGCAUCUUGGUUCCAUUUUUUGUCUAUUAUAUGUUGUUAUUUGCUGCUAUGCUGUUCCAAACUGUGUCACUUUAUUAAUGUUGUCAAAUGGAUUAAAAAGUUAAGAUGUUUGUGCAUAUGAAAAUGUGUGUAACUUAAAAGCAGUUUGGCACAAAGUAUUAUUGGGAGCUUUGUAUGUAUCGUUUUGUUCGAUGGAGGGGAAUAGCUGUGGAACCACAUGAAGGGCUCAAUGCUUAAAUAUUGUAUGGAUGAUAUGCUGAAUAAUUGGUUGAGAUGCAUGCUAAGAGACAAUACUGCUUUUGCAAGGUUUGUGUCAGGGUGUUGGACAUAUUGAUCACUUACAGCCUUCAUUAUUAUUUGUUUAUCAUAUGAUGAAACACACAGCAUUGCUUAAGCGUCUGAGUUUAUUGCAUUAAAUUGGUGUCUUUCUUAUAGUGGCAUAAAUUUGAUUUCAUUGUAUUAGCUUCAUUAGGUGCUUUGCUAUAUGAGGUUGUCAGGCAUGCCACACAAACCUCCAUCACUAGCAUGAGAGGUAUGAUACACUUGCAUUAUGUAUUGGUUAAUUUUUCUUGCAUUAUAGCUGAAGCUACAGUGUUCUUUUAUGCUAUUGUCUAUGGCCCUUUCAUAUAGGUCACUGUAUGUCAUUUAUUUUCAGAAGAAAUGGUUGUGGUUAUAAGGAAGCAGUCUUAUUAUGUACAUGUUGGAAGGAACAGAAACAAAGGCAAACAUAUAAGACAUUGUCAGAAAACAUGCAUUUACAGGAGAAUAACUGGAACAGCAGUUAGAAAAAUGAUAGUAUACGUUUUAAAUGACUAGAAGGGGAUUGAGCAAGAUGCAAUUAAAUGAAUGUGAGAAGUGUCACAGAGGUCCAUUAGUUCGCUGUUGGAUUGUCCAUGCAUAGAAGGUUUUCCCUGGUAGUAUGUGUUAUGUGUUGCAUUGCAUGUAAUUUCUGCCUAUAGUGAUAUAAGGGGUCGCAGAAGCAGCAGAAAAUUAACAUCAUGUUAUACUCUUUUUUAAGUGAAACUCUGUGAUUUGUUUCAGUAAUGUGGUACAAAGAAAGUGACAGUAAGUGCUGUUGAUGAAAGAAAAUGACUCUUUCUGUGCUACGGUAUUGUGAUGGUUUUUAUUAGGCUAUAGCCAGCAUGUUGUGGUUGGAAGUGGUGAGUUUGCUAAUGGAUGUUUCAGGACAGGUGUGUGCAGAGUAAUGACUGUUUCUGUUGGAGUCAUGAAGUUUAAUUUAAUGAAGUUAUUGCAACAGGUGUCCGAAGAAUUUGUAUAUUUGCCUAAAGUUGAGACACAAUGUUAUAAACAAAGUACGAAAUAAAACAUUCUCAAACAUAUGCUUAGAUUUCAGAACGAGCAAUGAAAGUUGGAAAAUUGAACGUGUUUCCUGCAGCAAUGUUGUCAAGUGUCUACACUCAAUGUGAGAUAUGACAGGAAUGAAAGGGAAUGUGUCAGCUACUAGUUCUAUGCAGCUAAUGAUAGUGGUGGUGAGCAGAUGAUAUGUUUGGAAGAAAGACACAUUUAAAUGUCUCACAUCACUGUGGAAGUGAAAUCCAAUAUGUAUUUGGCAGAAAGCAACUGCUUUCUUGGAUCCCAACAUAACAACAAUCUCAGAAACUGUGACAUAUUUGGAAGGCACAGUCAAUGAAGAUAUAAAUUUCGCACCUGUGCUAUUGGAAUGACAAUGUGAUUAAAAAGAGUGAGACUCCAGAUGACAGGCUUAGAAAUCAGAAAAGAUAGUGAAGGGACAUUGCAGUACACCUGCUACUACUACUGAAUACCUGGAGCAAGGAAAAAGUUACUGAAAACUGUGUGCUAAACAAUGAGGAAAGUUCGCAAAAUAAAGACAAGGCAACAAGGAACCAACCUCAACAAUCAAGGGAAGUAAAUGCAAGAUAGCCCAAGACUGUUUCUGUAAUUACUUCCAAUGGAAAAUAGCUUCAAAUCCAACAAGUGUGGGUGCGUGCACAGACAUCACAGAUGUCAGCUGUUGUUGAUUGAGAAAUUUGUUGAUUGGAUCAGAUCGUGUACUGUGUCAGUGUAUAUUGCAUAAACUGUACACAAAGUUUUUUCUGUUUUUGAAAAUAGUUGAUCUUAGAUUGUCAUUUACUGUGGCAAUGUUCAAACAGAGAUAUGAAAUAUAUUAUGUAAGAGUAAAUAUAUUUGGAUUUUCCAUUAAACAAAAACAAAGAUGUUAACUUAGUUGGGUAGUAGUACUUGCUGUGUUAGUGGUUUCCAGUGUUGUGAUGGUUGGUAGAGGAACAAGGAUGAUUUGUUGGAUGGUUGAUGAGGAAAUGAAGUUGGAUUAUGUUAUUGUGGAGAAAAACUGUUAAUUUAGUUUCAUAGCACUCUGCUGUACUUUCAUUUGUUGCCAAGAGAAAUUUCAGAUCUUUGUGGACAGAUGACCGUGACAUGAUGUCACGGUAGAACUGUUACAUUGAACCUGAGAAUGGGAGCUUGUUCUCUUGAUAUGUGUAUUCAACAGGAAGAAAAACAUCACAAGGUUGAAUGCAAUAAUUCAGGAUAAUAUGUAAAAUUUGAAAUAGCUAGUUCAUUUGUUCAUAAUUUAUCUCGUGUCUCUUAAUUUUGGAAUGCUCUGCAAUUACAACAUACUGGUACAGGCAUGACUGCGGUAUCAGAAUUGCAUGUAACAUCUCUGUUUACGAAGUAUAAACCAUAAAUAGAUGUAAACAAUUAAAUAUUGUCCAGAAUUAUUAUUCGAACUCUUGAAAUGUGCUCUCUCUUGCCUUUAGCGGCAUGCAAAUAUUACUGAGCAUUCACAACAUUCAGCACAUCUGGUAUAUGAGACUUUUGAAAAGUGAUAGAAAACUAUUAGAGAUACACUGUUAUCAAAUGUACCUUUAAAAUUGAACUGGAAAACUGUUAAGUGCUUCAGCAAGGACUGUUAGCAGAUUGAUUAUCCUUAAUAGCUGUGAAAGUAAUAAGUUGUAGUCUACAUAACUUUUGAAAAGUUAGAUGUAGCUUUUCCAAGUAGCUAAUAGUGACUCAUAUUAACUUGUCACUAUGUUAGUAAUAAUUUCUUGACUUCCAUUGUAAAAGUUAAAACAUAGUCCCCAUCAUUUGCAUACUAUUUCUGACUGGUGAAAUAAGUUCCCUGUUUCACAAACCUGUGUAGUAUUAUAAUGUCCAGUUUUCUAAAAAGAGUGAAGUGACAUUUCACAGUGAAAUAAGAGAUAUGAAUGAUGGUAAUUUGCAAAUAUUUUCUUAAUAUUUUGUGUAUUUGUCAGGAAGUUAAACAUAAUUAAUACCUAUAGCAAACAUUUAAUGAUGCUUCAACUGUUUCAUGUCAUCACUUUAUAAAUGAAAACCGAGUAAAUAGUACAGUCUCAUGUGCUUUUUUAAAUACAUUAUUGUUCUUUGGGAAAAGGAGAAGUAAUAUUUUCAUUAGCUCUUUAUGUGAUUAAAAUUUUUGUAUGGCUUGGUUAUGAAGAAAAACAAGGUGAUUGUUUAUGGUGAUGUUAAUAGUAAAUUAAUAAUAUGAACUACACAUGUGAGAAUGUAAUGUGUGAAAGAAAUGCUUCUUAAAUGGUGAAAUUAUGAAGUAAAAGGAAAUUAACAAAUGGUUUAUUUAUACUUGCUCUCAUUUUAGGUUAUGAUGAUGUUGAUACUUUUGUAUUGUAUAGUGGUGACAAAUACAAUGACACAGCUACUCUUUCAUUCAUUUCUUUUCAUGUAAAUUAUAAUUUGUCCUGCUACAUUGCCAUUUCCAUCAUUUUAAGUCAGAGUAUCUUCACCUUCCUUACAAGACCUACAAUAGCACGUACUUUAGUGCUUAAACAUAUAGAAUGAAAUUUACACUAGUAAAGUAAAGAGAGUAUUCGAGCAUGUCUGGCAUUUGCCAUUCUACACUAAAAUUGUUAUGCUAGUUAACAUCCAAAACUACAGACCUGAUUUUUUGCCACUGUUGAAUUUUUCAAUACUUAUUAAAAAAAAAUGUUAUCUGUUUACAUUCUUAGUUAUGCACAAUGUAGGUUUUUUCUAUAUAUUGUAGAAUGUAAAUAACAUUUUUGGUCUCUCUUAUGAGAGAACUCCUGUAAAAAAAGUUAAUUAAGUCCUCAUUCAACCUUUUCAGUGUUUCAAUAAAAACAAAGCAAAUAAUUAGAUACAAGAUUAAGAAGACAACAAAGCAUAAAAUCCAUUUCAGUAACAUGACUGAGAAUGGUGAAAUUAGUUAACUUCCAAUGUUAGCAGAGUACGCAGUGAUGCCAUUUCUGUAUACUCUGAAACAUAGUCUCUAAUCAGCAUAAUUUGCUGAAGCACAUCAACUGAUUAUGGUGUCACCAAUCUCCUUGCAGGUGAUUGGUGGCUGAUUUACACACAUGAUACGUGAUGUGCAUGCUCCAAUAAUAGUGGAUUUUGAGUAGAAAGUUACUGGCGUAAAACAAGCUUUACAGCAGAUAAUUUGAUGGUCUUAGUUAAUUACAUCAGCAUGAGAACUUGAUUGUUAAACUUGGUCCAUCAUUAAUAUUUGAUUGAGGUAUACGAGAAACUGUGUAAAGUAACCUAGCUGAGAAAGAGAGAACUAAAAUAAAGGAAGUACUUCUGCAAA